GACGAACGCUGGCGGCGUGCUUAACACAUGCAAGUCGAACGGAAAGGCCCUGCUUGCAGGGUGCUCGAGUGGCGAACGGGUGAGUAACACGUGGGUGAUCUGCCCCUUACUUUGGGAUAAGCCUGGGAAACUGGGUCUAAUACUGGCUAGGACCAUGCUGUAGGUGGUGUGGUGGAAAGAUUAGUUUCGGUAAGGGAUGAGCUCGCGGCAGAUCAGCUUGUUGGUGGGGUAUUGGCCUACCAAGGCGUCGACGGGUAGCCGGCCAGAGAGGGUGGACGGCCACAUCGGGACUGAGACACGGCCCAGACGCCUACGGGAGGCAGCAGUGGGGAAGAUUGCACAAGGGGCGCAAGCCUGAUGCAGCGACGCCGCGUGGGGGAUGACGGCCUUCGGGUUGUAAACACCUUGCAGCCAUGACGAAGCCCUUGUGGUGACGGUAGUGGUAGAAGAAGCACCGGCUAACUACGUG
rnacentral:rRNA from 1 species